AUGCAGGUGCGCAUGGAGAUCCUCGUUGUCUUGCAGCAGUGUUGCGCGAGGUGUGUGGUUGCGUUUCGGAGUGACUGGCAAUGUGAAGCAGAGGACGGCUUCUUCGAAGAUCUGCGGCGGAACGGGAAUUUACCGGAGCUUGCGUUUAGAGAGUUGAAUGAGUUGAACGGAAGAAGUUUCACCGGCAAAUUCGGGUUCAAAACCACAGUAACCUACACACACACAAAAUUACAACAAAAGAGAAAGACAUGGUUCAUGUUUUUAUGUUUCAGCAUAUCAAAUGUUUGA